rnacentral:rRNA from 1 species
UACGAAGGGGGCUAGCGUUGUUCGGAUUUACUGGGCGUAAAGGGCGCGUAGGCGGGCUGAUAAGUCAGGGGUGAAAUCCCAAGGCUCAACCUUGGAACUGCCUUUGAUACUGUCGGCCUUGAGUUCGAGAGAGGUAAGUGGAACUGCGAGUGUAGAGGUGAAAUUCGUAGAUAUUCGCAAGAACACCAGUGGCGAAGGCGGCUUACUGGCUCGAUACUGACGCUGAGGCGCGAAAGCGUGGGGAGCAAACAGG